UGGGGAAUUUUGCGCAAUGGGCGAAAGCCUGACGCAGCAACGCCGCGUGGAGGAUGAAGGUCUUUGGAUUGUAAACUCCUGUCAGCAGGGAAAAAGGCGGAUGGCCACACCAUCCGAUUGAUUGUACCUGCAGAGGAAGCCCCGGCUAACUCUGUGCCAGCAGCCGCGGUAAUACAGAGGGGGCAAGCGUUAUUCGGAAUUAUUGGGCGUAAAGGGCGCGUAGGCGGCCGGACAAGUGGAAGGUGAAAUCCCCGAGCUCAACUCGGGAACUGCCCUCCAAACUGUUUGGCUUGAGUCCGGGAGAGGUGAGUGGAAUUCCCAGUGUAGCGGUGAAAUGCGUAGAUAUUGGGAGGAACACCAGUGGCGAAGGCGGCUCACUGGACCGGAACUGACGCUGAGGCGCGAAAGCGUGGGGAGCAAACAG
rnacentral:rRNA from 1 species